GUGGUCUAUUUGACAGCUACCAAGAUGAGUAGAAAAACACUGACAAUUGCAGUGUUAAGUUUAGGUCUGUAAGUUACUGAACAUCCAGAUUCCUUAUUUCUCUUGUUACUUAUUUAAAUAUGAAAAUUGCUCUAAAAUUGCUUUGUACUUUUGAUUUUAACAACAGUGUUUUGUAGCGCAUCAGCUGAGUCAGCAAACUCACCUACAACUGAAUCUAUGACUGUCACAUCAUACUCACCUGCACAAACGACACAAUUCUGCUUACAACUGACACAACAGCAUAUACAAUACUGUUCAACAACAACUGAAACUCUGUUUACAACCACUGCCAAACCAACACAAACACCUGAAUCAACAAACUCACCUAUAACUGCAACAACUGAAUCUACGACUGUUAGAACAAACACAGCUACAACUAAAACUCGGCUUACAACUACAAGCCUUCCUACAGAAAAAACAACACAACUCACAACUGAGCAAUCAACUACAUCUGAACAAAGCACCACAAUGCAGUCAGCAAAUUCAUCCCUACCUACAACAAGUACAGCUCAAUCUACAACUGAGGUUACAACAAACUCACCCACAACUACAACUCUGCUUACAACUACAGCUCCUCCUACAGAAACAACAACAACACAACUUACAUCUACGACUGAACCAAAAACCACAACUGCUGCAACAUCUACAACUGAACCAAAAACCACAACUGCUUCAACACCUACAACUGAACAAUCAACUACAUCUGAACAAAGCACCCCAAAGCAGACAACAACAUCAUCCCUACCUACAACAAGUACAGCUCAAUCUACAACCGUGGUUACAACAAACUCACCUACAACUACAUCUCGUAUUACAAUUACAGCCCCUCCUACAGAAACAACAACAAAACUUACAUCUACAGCUGAACCAACAACCAUAACUGCUUCAACACCUACAACUGAACUAUCAACUACAUUUGAACAAAGCACCCCAAAGCACACAACAACAUCAACCCUACCUACAAAAAGUACAGCUCAAUCUACACCCCUGGUUACAACAAACUCACCUACAACUACAUCUCGGAUUACAAUUACAGCCCCUCCUACACAAACAACAACAAAUCUUACAUCUACAGCUGAACCAACAACCACUAUUGCUUCAUCAUCUACAGCUGAACCAACAACCACAACUGAUUCAUCAUCUACAGCUGAACCAACAACCACAACUGUUUUAACAUCUAUGACAGAACAAUCAACUACAUCUGAACAAAGCACCCCAAUGCAGACAACAACAUCAUCCUUACAUACAACAAGUACAGCUCAAUCUACAACCCUGGUUACAACAAACUCACCUACAACUACAUCUCGGGCUACAAUUACAGCCUCUCCUACAGAAACAACAACAAAACUUACAUCUAAAGCUGAACCAACAACCAUCACUGCUUCAACCCCUACAACUGAACUAUCAACUACAUUUGAACAAAGCACCCCAAAGCACACAACAACAUCAACCCCACCUACAAAAAGUACAGCUCAAUCUACACCCCUGGUUACAACAAACUCACCUACAACUACAUCUCGGAAUACAAUUACAGCCCCUCCUACAGAAACAACAACAAAUCUUACAUCUACAGCUGAACCAACAACCACAACUGUUUUAACAUCUAUGACAGAACAAUCAACUACAUCUGAACACAGCACCACAACGCAGACGGCAACAACUUCCCUACCCACAACAAGUACAGCUCAAUCUACAACCCUGGUUACAACAAACUCACCUAUAACUACAUCACAGGUUACAAUUACAGCCCCUCCUACAGAAACAACACCAAAACUUACAUCUACAGCUGAACCAACAACCACAACUGUUUUAACAUCUACAACAAAACAAUCAAUUACAUCCCAACACAGCACCACAACACAGACAGCAACAACAUACCUACCUACAACAAGUACAGCUCAAUCUACAACCCUGGUUACAACAAACAUGACUGUUACAUCAAGCUCAGCUACACAAACGACACAAUUCUGCUUAAAAGUGACACAACAGCUGAUACAAUACUGCUCAGCAACAACUGAAACUCUGUCUACAACCACUGCCAAACCUACACAAAAACCUGACUCAACAAACUCACCUGCAUCUGCAACAACAGAAUCUAUGACUGUUACAGUAAACUCAGUCCCUUCCACAGAAACAACAACAACAACAACACAACUUACAUCUACGGCUGAACCAACAACUACAACCAGAGCUCAAUCAACAACAACCCCAGGCACAACCCAGACAGUUUUUGUUAGUUUUUCCAGCAGUGAAAUUUUUGUCUCUGAUCUGUCAAAUCCAGCUUCAGAAGCAUAUAAAAACAGAGAAAAGAAUGUCAACGAUACGUUGACACCAUUCUUUACAAAUGCAUUGCCCUCCUUCAAAGGACUGGCAGUUAUUCAGUUCCGGUGAGUAUGUCUUCCCUUUAAAUAUGAAAACAUUUCAUUUUCAUUUUCAUUUUCUUUGGUUUACUGGAAAAUCUAGACAGCUAUUUUCUGCUUAUUUGUACAUUUAAAAAAAAAAAAAAUUUGAUGUCCAAACAUUCCUUAGGGGUCACAUGAAGUGACAGAGGCAACAACAUUUGAAAAAAAGAAUGUUUGUAAAUCUAAAAUUGUGUAUAAUCAUUUUAAAACAAUUAUUAUUAUUAUUAUUAUUUUUUUAAUGAAGCAUUUAAUACAGGUACACAGGAUCUGAAAAGGUAAGUUCACCCAAAAAUGAAAAUUCUCUCAUUACUCACCCUCAUGUCGUUCCAAACCUGCUCUCUCACCCUGGAUAGACAGCAACGCAACUGCAAUGCAGUUUUCAUUUUUGGGUGAACUAAUGCUUUAAUGCCACAAGAAAACUACAGCAAACAAAAAAUAGCAGCAUAAACACUUCUUCCAAACUUCUAUAGCCUAAGUGGUUUCAGUAUUGAGCCUUGCAUUUAAAAAAUGACAAUGACUCUCUCUUCUCUUUCCCUUCUGUAGUAAUGGGUCAAUCAUCACUGAUAUGAAUGUGACAUUUGGAACCUUACCCAGUGAUGUGGAGAUAGAAAACACUAUUAUGAAAGCUAAUGCCACUCUCAGUAUCACCAGUGUAACAAGUAAGUCAAACAAAGAACAUCAUCAGUAUAUAAUACAAAAGAUUUUACAAUGUGUUCUGUGUUUUUAUUUAACUAAAGCGGUUGCACUGCUGCAUCUUGCUGAAGGUAUUUUUCUCAACUUUUAUUUUUAUUUUUCAUAUUCUACAAAAUAACCAAACCCACACAACAGUAUGGAAGCCCUUCACCACAACUACCAAAGCCACUACAACCAGUUCCACUACAAUUACAACUACAACCACACCUAACACAACAACAGCAGCAGCAACAACAACAACCACAACAUCUACUGCCAAUCCUAUUACAACAGCAACAACAACAACCACCACCACAACAUCUACUGUCAAUCUUAAUACAACAGCAUUAACAGCAGUCACAACAUCUACUGCCAAUCCUAUUACAACAGCAACAACAACAACCACAACAUCUACUGCCAAUCUUAAUACAACAGCAUCAACAGCAACCACAACAUCUAAUGUCAAUUCGAAUACAACAGCAUCAACAGCAACCACAACAUCUACUGUCAAUCCAAAUACAACAGCAUCACCAGCAACCACAACAUCUACUGUCAAUCAGAAUACAACAAUAUCAACAGCAUCCACAACAUCUAUUGUCAAUCCUAAUACAACAGCAUCACCAGCAACCACAACAUCUACUGUCAAUCCAAAUACAACAGCAUCAACAGCAACCACAACAUCUACUGUCAAUCCUAUUACAAUAGCAACAACAACCACAACAUCUACUGCCAAUCUUAAUACAACAGCAUCAACAGCAACCACAACAUCUACUGCCAAUCCUAUUACAACAACAGCAACAACAACAACCACAACAUCUACUGCCAAUCCUAAUACAACAGCAUCAACAACAACCACAACAUCUACUGCCAAUCCUAAUACAACAGCAACAACAACAACCACCACCACAACAUCUACUGCCAAUCUUAAUACAACAGCAUCAACAGCAACCACAACAUCUACUGUCAAUCCUAAUACAACAGCAUCACCAGCGACCACAACAUCUAUUGUCAAUCCUAAUACAACAGCAACAACAACAACCACCACAUCUACUGCCAAUCCUAAUACAACAGCAUCAACAGCAACCACAACAUCUACUGUCAAUCCUAAUACAACAGCAUCACCAGCGACCACAACAUCUAUUGCCAAUCCUAAUACAACAGCAACAACAACAACCACAGCAUCUACUGCCAAUCCUAAUACAACAGCAUCAUCAACAACAACAACCACAACAUCUACUGCCAAUCUUAAUACAACAGCAUCAACAGCAACCACAACAUCUACUGCCAAUCCUAAUACAACAGCAACCACAGCAUCUACUGUCAAUCCUAAUAAAACAGCAACCACAACAUCUACUAUCA
ensembl:lncRNA